rnacentral:rRNA from 1 species
GAUGAACGCUGGCGGCGUGCCUAAUACAUGCAAGUCGAGCGAACAGACGAGGAGCUUGCUCCUCUGACGUUAGCGGCGGACGGGUGAGUAACACGUGGAUAACCUACCUAUAAGACUGGGAUAACUUCGGGAAACCGGAGCUAAUACCGGAUAAUAUAUUGAACCGCAUGGUUCAAUAGUGAAGGACGGUUUUGCUGUCACUUAUAGAUGGAUCCGCGCCGCAUUAGCUAGUUGGUAAGGUAACGGCUUACCAAGGCAACGAUGCGUAGCCGACCUGAGAGGGUGAUCGGCCACACUGGAACUGAGACACGGUCCAGACUCCUACGGGAGGCAGCAGUAGGGAAUCUUCCGCAAUGGGCGAAAGCCUGACGGAGCAACGCCGCGUGAGUGAUGAAGGUCUUCGGAUCGUAAAACUCUGUUAUUAGGGAGGAACAAAUGUGUAAGUAACUAUGCACGUCUUGACGGUGCCUAAUCAGAAAGCCACGGCUAACUACGUG